AAAAAUGAACGUUGGCGGCAUGGAUUAGGCAUGCAAGUCGCGCGACAAGCCAUUUUUAGCUUGCUAUUGAUGGUGGAGGAGCGGCGAAAGGGGGAGUAACGCGUGGAUCACCUACCCAGGGGGGCGGAAUAGCGGCUGGAAACGGCCGGUAAUGCCGCAUGAUGUCUCCGGACCAAAGCCCAGGCGCCCUUGGACGGGUCCGCGUAUCAUUAGCUAGUUGGGGGGGUAAAGGCCUACCAAGGCUGAGAUGAUUAGUGGGCGUGAGAGCGUGGCCCACCACACUGGGACUGAGACACUGCCCAGACACCUACGGGGGGCUGCAGUCGAGAAUCUUUUUCAAUGGACGCAAGUCUGAACAAGCGAUGCCGCGUGCGGGAUGAAGGCCUUCGGGUUUUAAACCGCUGUCAGAGGGGAGCAAAUUUUGAGCGAUCCUCAGAGGAAGCCCGGGCUAAGUUCGUGCCAGCAGCCGCGGUAACACGAACCGGGCAAACGUUAUUCGGAAUCACUGGGCUUAAAGGGGGCGUAGGCGGCGCUAUAAGUCGGGGGUGAAAUCCCACGGCCCAACCGUGGAACUGCGCCCGAUACUGUAGUGCUUGAGGGAGAUAGAGGGGAACGGAACGAAUGGGGGAGCGGUGAAAUGCGUCGAUAUCAUUCGGAACACCCGUGGCGAAAGCGGCUCACUGGGUCUCUUUUGACGCUGAGGCACGAAAGCUAGGGGAGCGAACGGGACUAGAUACCCCGGUAGUCCUAGCUGUAAACGAUGAGCACUAGAUCGGGGAGUCCUUUCACACCUCCCGAUCGUAGCGAAAGUGUUAAGUGCUCCGCUUU
rnacentral:rRNA from 1 species